rnacentral:rRNA from 1 species
GAUGAACGCUGGCGGCGUGCCUAACACAUGCAAGUCGAGCGAACAGAUCAGGAGCUUGCUCCUCCGACUUUAGCGCCGGACGGAUGAGUAACACGUGGAUAACCUACCUAUAAGACUGGGAUAACUUCGGGAAACAGGAGCUAAUACCGGAUAAUAUAUCGAACCGCAUGGAUCAAUAGUGAAAGACGAUUUUGGUGUCACUAAUAGAUGAAUCCGCGCCGCAUUAGCUAGUUGGUAAGGUAAAGGCUCACCAAGGCAACGAUCCUUAGCCGGCCUGAGAGGAGGAACAGCGACACUGGGACUGAGACACGGUCCAGAAUCCUACGGGAGGGAGCAGUGGGGAAUAUUGGACAAGGGGGGAAAGACUGAUACAGAAAGGCCGGGAGAGUGAUGAAGGCCUGAGGGUUGUAAAGCGCUUUUACCCGGGAAGAUAAUGACGGUACCGGGAGAAUAAGCCCCGGCUAACUCCGUG